CCUACGGGAGGCAGCAGUGAGGAAUAUUGGUCAAUGGUCGGGAGACUGAACCAGCCAAGCCGCGUGAGGGAUGAAGGUACAGAGUAUCGUAAACCUCUUUUGUCAGGGAACAAAGGCGGGGACGUGUCCCCGGAUGAGUGUACCUGAAGAAAAAGCAUCGGCUAACUCCGUGCCAGCAGCCGCGGUAAUACGGAGGAUGCGAGCGUUAUCCGGAUUUAUUGGGUUUAAAGGGUGCGCAGGCGGUCUGUUAAGUCAGCGGUAAAAGCCCGGGGCUCAACCCCGGCCCGCCGUUGAUACUGGCAGUCUCGAGUUGGAGAGAAGUAUGCGGAAUGCGCGGUGUAGCGGUGAAAUGCAUAGAUAUCGCGCAGAACUCCGAUUGCGAAGGCAGCAUGCCGGCUCCACACUGACGCUGAGGCACGAAAGCGUGGGUAUCGAACAGGAUUAGAUACCCUUGUAGUC
rnacentral:rRNA from 1 species